rnacentral:rRNA from 1 species
CCUGGAAAACGGGUGGUAAUGCCGGAUGCUCCAGUUGAUCGCAUGGUCUUCUGGGAAAGCUUUCGCGGUAUGGGAUGGGGUCGCGUCCUAUCAGCUUGACGGCGGGGUAACGGCCCACCGUGGCUUCGACGGGUAGCCGGCCUGAGAGGGCGACCGGCCACAUUGGGACUGAGAUACGGCCCAGACUCCUACGGGAGGCAGCAGUGGGGAAUAUUGCACAAUGGGCGCAAGCCUGAUGCAGCGACGCCGCGUGAGGGAUGGAGGCCUUCGGGUUGUAAACCUCUUUUAUCGGGGAGCAAGCGAGAGUGAGUUUACCCGUUGAAUAAGCACCGGCUAACUACGUGCCAGCAGCCGCGGUAAUACGUAGGGUGCAAGCGUUAUCCGGAAUUAUUGGGCGUAAAGGGCUCGUAGGCGGUUCGUCGCGUCCGGUGUGAAAGUCCAUCGCUUAACGGUGGAUCCGCGCCGGGUACGGGCGGGCUUGAGUGCGGUAGGGGAGACUGGAAUUCCCGGUGUAACGGUGGAAUGUGUAGAUAUCGGGAAGAACACCAC